rnacentral:tRNA from 1 species
GAGGUCCGUUGGCUUUAUUGACCGU